CCUACGGGUGGCUGCAGUGGGGAAUAUUGGACAAUGGGCGAAAGCCUGAUCCAGCCAUGCCGCGUGUGUGAAGAAGGCCUUCGGGUUGUAAAGCACUUUCAGUGGGGAAGAAAGCCUUGGGGCUAAUACCCUCGAGGAAGGACAUCACCCACAGAAGAAGCACCGGCUGAACUCCGUGCCAGCAGCCGCGGUAAUACGGAGGGUGCGAGCGUUAAUCGGAAUUACUGGGCGUAAAGCGCGCGUAGGCGGUCUGAUAAGCCGGUUGUGAAAGCCCCGGGCUCAACCUGGGAACGGCAUCCGGAACUGUCAGGCUAGAGUGCAGGAGAGGAAGGUAGAAUUCCCGGUGUAGCGGUGAAAUGCGUAGAGAUCGGGAGGAAUACCAGUGGCGAAGGCGGCCUUCUGGACUGACACUGACGCUGAGGUGCGAAAGCGUGGGUAGCAAACAGGAUUAGAUACCCGAGUAGUC
rnacentral:rRNA from 1 species